UCCCGCGUAGCUCAAUUGGCAGAGCGUACGGCUUUUAACCGUAAGGCUAGGAGUUCGACCCUCCUCGCGGGAG
rnacentral:tRNA from 1 species